GUGUGUGUGUGUGUGUGUGUGUGUAUGGACUCAGCAGUCUGUGUGUGUGUAUGGACAUAGCAGUCUGUGUGUGUAUGGACUCAGCAGUCUGCUUAGUCCAUACACACACACAGACUG